UAGGGAAUCUUCCACAAUGGGCGAAAGCCUGAUGGAGCAAUGCCGCGUGUGUGAUGAAGGGUUUCGGCUCGUAAAACACUGUUGUAAGAGAAGAAUGACAUUGAGAGUAACUGUUCAAUGUGUGACGGUAUCUUACCAGAAAGGAACGGCUAAAUACGNGCACG
rnacentral:rRNA from 1 species